CCAACUUUUCCUCCCAACUUCUCUUAUCUACAUCUCCUCUCUCUCCUCCGCCGUAUCCAGGCGGCGAUCUAGGCGGUUCCCUGGUCGGAUCUCCGACUUAUCUAUCCUUAUAUUCAUAUCCUUCCCUCUCCUAUCUCUCUAUCUCUCUUAUUUAAAAAAAACAACAAAAAAUUGGAAGUUUCUAGGGUUUCUGUGGUUUGCUUUGUUCGGAGUUGGAAAAGCUUUCUGAUUUGCAGGCAAUUUAUCUAUCUAGGUUUGGAUUCAUAUCAAUAAAGGGAGAGGGAAGUUAAAAAAAGCCAAAAAAAAUCAGAAAAUUUGGGGAAAAGGCAAAAUAUUUCUAGGGUUUUGAGAUGGCGGCUCAGGUUCAAGUUCAACCUCAGGCGGUGAGUGCUGGUGUCGGUGGUGCUGCUCCUGCUGGUGCUCAGCAGUUUGUGCCGACCUCAUUGUAUGUUGGGGAUCUGGAGUGGAAUGUGACGGAUUCGCAGUUGUAUGAUCUGUUUAACCAGUUAGGUCAAGUGGUUUCUGUUCGAGUUUGCAGGGACUUGUCGACUCGACGAUCGCUUGGUUAUGGCUAUGUCAACUAUGCGA
rnacentral:lncRNA from 1 species